rnacentral:rRNA from 1 species
ACAGCAGUAGCCGCGGGAAUACGUAGGUGGCAAGCGUUGUCCGGAAUUAUUGGGCGUAAAGGGCUCGCAGGCGGUUUCUUAAGUCUGAUGUGAAAGCCCCCGGCUCAACCGGGGAGGGUCAUCGGAAACUGGGAAACUUGAGUGCAGAAGAGGAGAGUGGAAUUCCACGUGUAGCGGUGAAAUGCGUAGAGAUGUGGAGGAACACCAGUGGCGAAGGCGACUCUCUGGUCUGUAACUGACGCUGAGGAGCGAAAGCGUGGGGAGCGAACAGGAUUAGAUACCCCCGUAGUCCCUGUCUCUUAUAC